rnacentral:lncRNA from 1 species
UUUUUUUUGAAACAAGGUCUCCGUUGCUUAGGUCCUCACUAAUUUACUGAGGCUGGUUGAACUUGGAAUCCUCCUGCCUCAGCAUCUUGAGACACUGGGAUUACAAGCAUUUGCUAACAAGCUCAGCUGUUGGCGAAUCAUCAUUUAAGAAUUUAACUAUGGGCCAUUUAAAAAUUCCAAUUUUGAUGGCCAGAAAAAGCCAUCAAAAUUAAUCAUCUGGGCUGGGGUACAGCACUUGCCUACCACGUGUAGGGUUCAAUCCUCAGCACCAUAUAAAUAAACAAAGGUAUUGUGUCCAUCUAAUAUAUAUAAAAUCAGCAGGAUCAGUGGUGUGCUGGGUGCAUGACUCCAGUCACUUCUACCCUUAGGUGCAGGAGUAUAUUGCUUAUGAACAUUCUUCUCAUUAGUACAUCAGGGAUUGAAAAAGCCAUACUAGGCAAAGAACUUGCAUCAAGAUCAGGACUGAAAUACAUUAAUGUGGAUGAUUUAGCUAAGAAGUUUGAUCACCGGAUAUCAUGGAGUCCUGCAAGAUGGCUUCUCCCAAGAGCAUGCUGAAAAAUGCAUAGAUGGUGACAUGAAUCCUAAAGGAUAUGGGGAUUACAGAAUAUGAACCAAGAGUUACAAAUCAGAUGUUGGAAUUUGCCUUCUAAUAUGUGACCACAAUUCUAGAUGAUGCUAAAAUUUAUUCAAGCCAUGCAAAGAAGGCUACUGUUGAUGCACAUGUGUGAUUGGUAAUCCAGUGUGGAGCUGACCACUCUUUUACCUCUCCUCUCUCAAGAGAUGUUUUAUUAGAUAUUGCAAGGCAAAGAAAUCAAACAUUUUUGCCACUGAUCAAGCCAUAUUCAGGUCCUUGGUUGCCACUUUAUAGAUAUUGCUUAACAGCUCCAAACUAUAGGCCCAAGUCUUUACAAAAAAUCACCUACUGCUGUGGGAAGAAUAACAGUUCCAAGGUUAAGUGUUAAUUCAGUUACUACCAGACGAAGUGUGCCAAUCCAACAAACCAUGUCUGUUUCAACUGAAGUAGGGACUCCAAUGUCACAGCGGAAAGUUGACAAUACAGAGGCCUAUUUCACAGUUUCCUGCCAUAAAAACCUCAAUUCAUGCAACACCAGCAGCUCAGAACGGUCUGAUUAAUCCAUUAAUUGGGCUCAAAAACAUUCUUAUUAUUUUAUG